GAGGACAUAGCUCAGAGGUAGAGCGCAUGCUUAGCAUGCACGAGGUCCUGGGUUCCAUCCUCAGUACCUCCG
rnacentral:tRNA from 1 species